rnacentral:tRNA from 1 species
GCCUUCUUGGUGUAGUGGUCAGCACGCUGGGCGCGUAUUCCAGAGGUCCGUGGUUCGAGUCCCGGCGAAGGCG